ACCAACAAACUAGCCGACACCCAAGUUAAACCUUUAACAGAAAUCACUAAACAAAAUAAAUCCACACAAAUUAAAUCAUUUACCCCCCUCAGUACAGGAGAUGAAAAAGGAAAUACCGAGCAAUAAAAAUAGUACCGCAAGGGAAAGUUGAAAGAGAAAUGAAAAAACAUUUAAGUCCUAAACCCCAGAGAUUUAACCUCGUACCUUUUGCAUCAUGAUUUAGCCAGAACCUUUAAGCAAAGAGAACUUUAGUUUUUACCCCGAAACUAGACGAGCUACUCCGAGACAGCCUAAACAGGGCUAACCCGUCUCUGUAGCAAAAGAGUGGGAAGAGCUCCGAGUAGAGGUGAUAUACCUACCGAGCCUAGUUAUAGCUGGUUGCUUGAAACAUGAAUAUAAGUUCAGCCCCCUAAGUUCUCCUACCUUAAACUCUUAAACAAAGGUCACAGAAAUUAGCAAAGUUAAUUAAAGGAGGGACAGCUCCUUUAAGCACGGAUACAACCGCCCCAGGAGAUUAAAGAUUAAAGUCAAUUAGGCCAACUGUUUUAGUGGGCCUAAAAGCAGCCAACUAACUAGAAAGCGUUAAAGCUCAGACAGACCUUAACCUUAAAUACCAAUAUAACAAUCUUACCCCCUACAUCAUACCAAGCCUCCCCAUCCCCUUAUGGACGACCCCCUGCUAAAAUGAGUAAUAAGGGGGGCCGCCCCCCUCCUAGCACCUGUGUACACUGGAUCGGACCCCCCACCAGUAAAUAACGAACCCCUCGCCCCGAGAGCACUCUGGACAAACUAAAACAAGAAGCCCCCAAAACAUAACUCGUUAACCUCACACAAGAAUGCAUCAAGGAAAGACUUAAAAGAAGAAAAGGAACUCGGCAAACCAAGAGCCUCGCCUGUUUACCAAAAACACCGCCUCUUGAUAUCUAAAAAUAAGAGGUCCCGCCUGCCCAGUGACCAUGUGUUCAACGGCCGCGGUAUUUUAACCGUGCAAAGGUAGCGCAAUCACUUGUCUCUUAAAUAGAGACCUGUAUGAAUGGCACAACGAGGGCUCACCUGUCUCCUCUUCUUAGUCAAUGAAAUUGAUCUCCCCGUGCAGAAGCGAGGAUACCCCCAUAAGACGAGAAGACCCCAUGGAACUUUAGACACUAAACUACACACCUUAUACCCUCCCCUCCUUCGAGCAACUAUGGUGUAGCCCGUUUCCUUGUCUUUGGUUGGGGUGACCCCGGAGAAUAAUAAAGCCUCCCUGAGAAAUAAGAGUAGUACUCUCACAACUAAGGCUAACAACCCUAAGUGCCAGAAUCUCUGACCAACUGAUCCGGCUUUCGCCGAUUAACGAACCAAGCUACCCUGGGGAUAACAGCGCAAUCCUCUCCCAGAGCCCCUAUCGACGAGAGGGUUUACGACCUCGAUGUUGGAUCAGGACAUCCUAAUGGUGUAACCGCUAUUAAGGGUUCGUUUGUUCAACGAUUAAAGUCCUACGUGAUCUGAGUUCAGACCGGAGUAAUCCAGGUCAGUUUCUAUCUAUGUUACAUCUUUCCUAGUACGAAAGGACCGGAAAGAAAAGGCCCCUACAACAUGCACGCCUUACCCCCUCCUAAUGAUACCAACUAAAGUAGUAAGGGCGAACACCCGGCUCUGCCCUAAAUAACGGCAU
rnacentral:rRNA from 1 species